rnacentral:rRNA from 1 species
GACGAACGCUGGCGGCGUGCCUAAUACAUGCAAGUAGAACGCUGAAGGAGGAGCUUGCUUCUCUGGAUGAGUUGCGAACGGGUGAGUAACGCGUAGGUAACCUGCCUGGUAGCGGGGGAUAACUAUUGGAAACGAUAGCUAAUACCGCAUAACAGUAGAUAUCGCAUGAUAUCUACUUGAAAGGUGCAAUUGCAUCACUACCAGAUGGACCUGCGUUGUAUUAGCUAGUUGGUGGGGUAACGGCUCACCAAGGCGACGAUACAUAGCCGACCUGAGAGGGGGACCGGCCACACGGGGACUGAAACACGGCCCAGACUCCUACGGGAGGAAGCGGUGGGGAAUUUUCGGCAAUGGACGGAAGUCUGACGGAGAAAGGCCGGGUGAGGGAAGAAGGUUUUGGGAUCGUAAAGCUCUGUUGUAAGGGAAAAAAGGGUGGGAAAGGGGAAAGUGCAAAAGGGAAGGGAAUUUAACAAAAAAGGGACGGCAAACUACGG